CUCCAAAGUGUUGAGUUCAGGUCAGGGUCUCUCCCCUGUUCUGGUAAUUUAACUUUGGAACAUUGGUAAUGGCUAGAGGAAAUGAAAGGGUGGAGAGUGUUGCUCUACCCGUUUUUACCACCUAGCGUACAACC